rnacentral:rRNA from 1 species
CAUGCAAGUCGAACGAUGAAGCCCAGCUUGCUGGGUGGAUUAGUGGCGAACGGGUGAGUAACACGUGAGUAACCUGCCCUUAACUCUGGGAUAAGCCUGGGAAACUGGGUCUAAUACCGGAUAGGAGCGUCCACCGCAUGGUGGGUGUUGGAAAGAUUUAUCGGUUUUGGAUGGACUCGCGGCCUAUCAGCUUGUUGGUGAGGUAAUGGCUCACCAAGGCGACGACGGGUAGCCGGCCUGAGAGGGUGACCGGCCACACUGGGACUGAGACACGGCCCAGACUCCUACGGGAGGCAGCAGUGGGGAAUAUUGCACAAUGGGCGAAAGCCUGAUGCAGCGACGCCGCGUGAGGGAUGACGGCCUUCGGGUUGUAAACCUCUUUCAGUAGGGAAGAAGCGAAAGUGACGGUACCUGCAGAAGAAGCACCGGCUAACUACGUGCCAGCAGCC